UUGGCUCCAGAACGAACGCUGGCGGCAGGCCUAACACAUGCAAGUCGAACGGUAGCACAGAGAGCUUGCUCUCGGGUGACGAGUGGCGGACGGGUGAGUAAUGUCUGGGAAACUGCCUGAUGGAGGGGGAUAACUACUGGAAACGGUAGCUAAUACCGCAUAACGUCGCAAGACCAAAGAGGGGGACCUUCGGGCCUCUUGCCAUCAGAUGUGCCCAGAUGGGAUUAGCUAGUAGGCGGGGUAACGGGCCCACCUAGGCGACGAUCCCUAGCUGGUCUGAGAGGAUGACCAGCCACACUGGAACUGAGACACGGUCCCA
rnacentral:rRNA from 1 species